UCUCGCUCUGCCACCCAGGCUGAAGUGCAGUGGUGCAAUCUCAGCUCACUGCAACCUCCGCCUCCCAGGUUCAAGCAAUUCUCCUGCCUCAGAUUCCCGAGUAGCCAGGAUUACAGGUGCCCACCACCACACCCGGAGACGAGGUCUCACUAUGUUGGCCAGGUUGGUCUCGAAUUCCUGGCCGCAAGCCGUUCUCCAGUCUGGGCCUCCCAAAGUGCUAGGAUUACAGGAACAGAAUUGCCAUUGGGCCCAGGGAGAGACUACACUUCUUGUCUGCUUUGUUGCUAGUGCGGCCUUGUGGCCAAGCACAGAACGUGUGCAGUGAUGAUGGUGCAACUUCUAGGUCGUCCCCAGCAUGGAAAAUGAGCCCUGGGCAUGGAAGAUGAGCCCUGGUCCUGCAGCGGUGCUCUUUCCUCUUCUCACAAGCUGGAAUGUGCAUGUGCUCCCACCCAGCUUUGACCAUGGGGCGAAAACAGUACUCUGCAGUCUGGCAGAGCAACAAGGUGGAAAGGGCCUGGGUCCUUGAGUGACGUCAUGAGCCCUCUCACUGUCCCGACUUUGGGACUGUUAUAUGAUAAGGACUUUCUGUGAGUCACUGUCUUUUAGAGUCUCUCUGUUUUAGCUGCCUGGACUUUAUCCUGAAUAAUAUGGCUGUUAUCAUGGGUAUAGUGUUACUAUGAGCCUCAUCUAAGUAAUUUCUACUCUGCCUUUGACCACUAAACUCAUGUUGGACAAGAGUCACUUAGCAUUAUUUUUUCCUCAAUGAAGAGGUUAAGAUGGAGGGAGCAGGAGAAAUUGAGGCCUGUGUUUUACCAGAAGGUGAAGGGCUGUCUUUGCCUUUCCUACAUUUAUGAAGGAUAAUUCUAGACAAAAACAUUAAGUUCAUAUCAAACCAUCUGCUUUGUGAAGCCAUGGGCUUUGCUAGAACUUUCUGUGACAUGACAUUUAUUAACCCGAGUCUACCUGGAAGUUAGAGCUGAGGAAGUUUUCCUAGAGUGGAAAAAGUCCAAUGCACUUGUAAAAGUCAGACCAAGCUCAGCUCAGAUUUCAGUUUUAUUAGAAGUAUGUCACCUUCCUGAGCCCUUAUUAUUUCCCCAUCUGUGAAAUGAGGACACCGUUCUCUCUUUCUAAGCAUUGCUGGGAAGACCACACACCACUGAGACAGAAGGUGGGGCUAGCGCAGUUCUGGGCAUUUUGUACACCCCCAACAAAUACUGAUUUAUUUCCUUCUUUUUCCUUGCUCAGAAAAAAUUGGAGAAGGCUUUAUUUUAAAAUUCUGCCUGAAUUACUUUAUUUUAUUUAUUUAUUUAUUUAUUUUUUGGAGACAGAGUGUUGCUGUGUCACCCAGGCUGGAGUGCAGUGGUGCGAUCUCAGCUCACUGCAACCUCCUCCUGCUGAGGCAGGGAGAAUCACUUGAACCUGGGGGGGCAGAGGUUGCAGUGAGCCAAGAUAGUGCCACUGUACUACCGCCUGGGCGACAGAGCAAGACUUUGUCUCAAAAAAAAAAAAAAAAGAAAAUAUUUGACUUUCUUUUUAAAAUGUAUAUGGUUUACAAAUAAAGUUUACAAAUGCUUUUAC
rnacentral:lncRNA from 1 species